UAGUAACGGCGAGUGAAGCGGGAUGAGCUCAAAUUUAAAAUCUGGCAGUCUUUGGCUGUCCGAGUUGUAUUCUAGAGAAGUGUUUUCCGCGCUGGACCGUGUACAAGUCUCUUGGAACAGAGCGUCAUAGAGGGUGAGAAUCCCGUCUUUGACACGGACUACCAGUGCUUUGUGAUGCGCUCUCAAAGAGUCGAGUUGUUUGGGAAUGCAGCUCAAAAUGGGUGGUAAAUUCCAUCUAAAGCUAAAUAUUGGCGAGAGACCGAUAGCGAACAAGUACCGUGAGGGAAAGAUGAAAAGCACUUUGGAAAGAGAGUUAAACAGUACGUGAAAUUGCUGAAAGGGAAACGCUUGAAGUCAGUCGCGUUAGCUAGAACUCAGCCUUGCUUUUGCUUGGUGCAUUUUCUAGUUGACGGGCCAGCAUCAGUUUUGACUGCGGGAUAAAGGUUAGAGGAAUGUGGCACCUUCGGGUGUGUUAUAGCCUCUGAUUGUAUACCGCGGUUGGGACUGAGGAUCUCAGCACGCCUUUAUGGCCGGGGUUCGCCCACGUUCGUGCUUAGGAUGCUGGCGUAAUGGCUUUAAACGACCCGUCUUGAAACACGGACCAAGGAGUCUAACAUACCUGCGAGUAUUUGGGUGGCAAACCCGAGUGCGUAAUGAAAGUGAUAGUUGGGAUCUCUGUCGUGGAGAGCACCGACGCCCGGACCAGACCUUUUGUGACGGCUCCGCGGUAGAGCAAGUAUGCUGGGACCCGAAAGAUGGUGAACUAUGCCUGAUAGGGUGAAGCCAGAGGAAACUCUGGUGGAGGCUCGUAGCGAUUCUGACGUGCAAAUCGAUCGUC
rnacentral:rRNA from 1 species